rnacentral:rRNA from 1 species
UGGGCGUAAAGAGCUCGUAGGUGGUUUGUCGCGUUGUUCGCGAAAUCUCACGGCUUAACUGUGAGCGUGCGGGCGAUACGGGCAGACUAGAGUACUGCAGGGGAGACUGGAAUUCCUGGUGUAGCAGUGGAAUGCGCAGAUAUCAGGAGGAACACCGGUGGCGAAGGCGGGUCUCUGGGCAGUAACUGACGCUGAGGAGCGAAAGCGUGGGGAGCGAACAGGAUUAGAUACCCUGGUAGUCCACGCCGUAAACGGUGGGUACUAGGUGUGGGUUUCCUUCCUUGGGAUCCGUGCCGUAGCUAACGCAUUAAGUACCCCGCCUGGGGAGUACGGCCGCAAGGCUAAAACUCAAAGGAAUUGACGGGGGCCCGCACAAGCGGCGGAGCAUGUGGAUUAAUUCGAUGCAACGCGAAGAACCUUACCUGGGUUUGACAUGCACAGGACGCGUCUAGAGAUAGGCGUUCCCUUGUGGCCUGUGUGCAGGUGGUGCAUGGCUGCCGUCAGCUCGUGUCGUGAGAUGUUGGGUUAAGUCCCGCAACGAGCGCAACCCUUGUCUCAUGUUGCCAGCGGGUAAUGCCGGGGACUCGUGAGAGACUGCCGGGGUCAACUCGGAGGAAGGUGGGGAUGAGGUCAAGUCAUCAUGCCCCUUAUGUCCAGGGCUUCACACAUGCUACAAUGGCCGGUACAAAGGGCUGCGAUGCCAUAAGGUUAAGCGAAUCCUUUUAAAGCCGGUCUCAGUUCGGAUUGGGGUCUGCAACUCGACCCCAUGAAGUCGGAGUCGC